UUUUCUUUAUUUAAUUUUUGUUGAAAAGUAUACAUUUCCAUUGUUCCUUUAUGCUUGUGUCGCAAAUUUAUUUCCACAAUUUUGAGCAAUUGUCUUUGAAUAAUUGGUUUGAUUGUUUAUCUAGAGCAAGAGCGCUGCUGUCAGUUGAUCGAUGUGUUUUCUACAUGAAAAGCAAAAGCUUUGCUUACAGUGAGUGAUGAUGAGUUCUGGGAAGGCGUUUCACCUUUAGAGUUUGGGAUAUUACCUGCUCUUCAAGAUGUUGUGACUGUUGUAGUUUAUCCAAUAGGAGGGGAUACAAUCUCUGCUACCUGUGGAGUUGUCUCAUGUAUUGAGAUCCUUUCCUAUGUUCAUGGGUCAACUGAAUCGUUGGGGUUCCAGAAAUUCUGGGGGUCCAGCUUUUAACGACAAAGGAAGUUGUGUGGGCAUUGCAUUUCAGUCACUGAAACAUGAAGAUGCAAAGAAUAUUGGUUAUGUUAUACCUACAUCUGUCAUCACAUUUAUUCAGUAUUAUGAGAAGAAUGGAGCAUAUACAAUACUUUCCUCAAGUUCCUUCCACUUAUUCUCAAGCGAUGAUUGAUGAGACACGGGAUACUUUGGGUAUAUAUUUUUUCAAGCAAAUCAAGUUAUCAUUGAUCAGAUUGAUGAAGAUGAAGAAAAUGAUCUUCUGGACGUUGAUCAUGAAUGAUCUUUUUAGCUAGUGCAUAUUGUACCUUUCUAACAAAUAUUUUUGGAAUCUCGUAGCAAGUUAAUACAUUUGAAGUACUUUGGAUUUGAACUUGCGAUUGGAGUUUGAAGAAUGUUAUGUUACCAUUAUUUUAUUUUAUUUAUUGCGCGCU